AGGUGGGGUGGCUCUUUGAAGAGCCGUCAUAGCAUUGCUGAGCUAGGGUUUGAUCAUCUUGGAGCUCACUGAUCACAUGUUCUAUUGGGAGCUUCAUCAUCAAAUGAUAUGUAGAGAUGAUGGCCUGGAGUGCAUUUAGCCCAGAUAGUCUAAGGAUGAAAUUGUAGACUAAGAGAAUCCUCACCACCAAAAAGUUAAGAUGUACCAUGAUUCGAUG
rnacentral:lncRNA from 1 species